GUCAUCUUCAACUUUUUCAUCUUUUAUUUACAUGUUCCAUUUAUAUGCAUUGCAAUUACAGUUCUGAAGUUGAUGCUGAUUGGUGGAUAUAUAAUCAUCACAGGCACUUGCUUGUGAUCAAGAUAUGGAUUUGGCACUUAAAAAUUCUGCUUGGAUUGGAACAUGGAAAUAAAAGAUGAAAAAGUUGAAGAUGACCCCCCAUUAAUUUCCAGUCUAUCUCAACUGGGUAUUAUUCAAUCACUUGAACAGAACUCAGAUUUCUAUGUAGUUUUGGGACCAAAUUUUCCGCUACAAGAUCAACAGUAACUCUCAUCUUAUGAGAUAAUUAAUAAUAUCAGCUUGAAACCUCAUCCAGAAGCUUAUACCUUCUCACCUUAUUUCU
rnacentral:misc_RNA from 1 species